rnacentral:lncRNA from 1 species
GGCUGGCGCCGCGCUGGGCGCCGCCCCCUCUCCCCCCUCCUCCCGCCGCCGCCUGUACGGAAACAAAAUGGCGGCGCCCGGCAGACGGCGGCGGCGACAAAAUGGCGGCCCCCAGCGGGCGGCGGGGAGCGCGGGGGAUUGUGGGAUAGCAAAGGGCCCCCCACGUGACCGCCAGUAACCCGGAAGAGGCGGGCCCGAAGCGGAAGUCCCGCCCCCCCCGCGUUUUUUGGGGCGAAAAAAGGGGGAAACGGAGCCCGAAAUGGAGGCCCCGACGGCGGGAUUUGGGGCAGAAAAGGGGGAAAUCGGGAACGGGGGGGAGGGGGAGGCCCCGCCCCCUGGAAUUGGGGCGAAAAGAGGCGGAAUGGGGAGGGAAGGGGAAGGGGAGGCCCCGCCCCUGCGAAAUGGGGGGAAAAAGGGGGAAAAAGGGAGCGAGGGGGAGGAGGAGGAGGAAGAGCAGGAGAGAGAGGAGGAGGUGACCCCCGAAAAUGAGGAGAAAAGGGGCGAAACGAGGAAGAAGAGUGAAAAAAACCAGCCCGUGAAAAAUGGGGGGAAAAGGGUGAAAAUGGAGAGUGAGGAAGAGGAGGAGGAGGACGAAGAUGAGGAGGAAGAUGAGGAGGAGGAAGAGGAGGAGAGGAAGAAGCCGCCCUCCAAAAAUGAGGAGAAAAGGGGCAAAAAGAGGAGUGAGAGCGAGAAAACCCAGGCUGUGAGAAAUGGGGCGAAAAGGGUGAAAAUAGAGAGUGAUGAAGACAAAGAUGAAGAGGAAGAAGAGGAGGAGGAUGAUGAGGACGAGGAUGAGGAGGAAGAGGAGGAGAAGAGGAAGAAGCCGCCCUCCAAAAAUGGGGUGAAAACGGGCAAAAAGAGGAGUGAGAAAAACCAGGCUGUGAGAAAUGGGGCGAAAAGGGUAAAAAUAGAGAGUGAUGAAGACAAAGAUGAAGAGGAAGAGGAGGAGGAUGAUGAGGACAAGGAUGAGGAGCAAGAGGAGGAGAAGAGGAAGAAGCCGCUCUCCAAAAAUGGGGUGAAAACGGGCAAAAAGAUGAGUGAGAGCGAGAAAAAACAGCCUGUGAGAAAUGGGGCGAAAAGGGUAAAAAUAGAGAGUGACGAAGAGGAAGAGGAAAACGAGGAGGAAGAAGAUGAUGAUGAGGAAGAGGAGGAGGAAGAGGAGAAGAGGAAGAAGCCACCCUCCAAAAAUGAGGAGAAAAGGGGCAAAAAGAGGAGUGAGAAAAACCAGGCUGUGAGAAAUGGGGCGAAAAGGGUGAAAAUGGAGAGUGAGGAAGAGGAGGAGGAAGAGGAGAAGAGGAAGAAGCCGCCCUCCCAAAAUGAGGAGAAAAGGGGCAAAAAGAUGAGUGAGAGUGAAAAAAAACAGCCUGUGAAAAAUGGGCGGAAAAGGGUCGAAACAGAGAGUGAGGAAGAGGAGGAGGAUGAUGAGGAGAAGAGGAAGAAGCCGCCCCCCAAAAAUGGGGUGAAAACGGGCAAAAAGAGGAGCGAGAGUGAGAAAAAACAGGCUGUGAGAAAUGGGCGGAAAAGGGUCGAAACGGAGAGUGAGGAAGAGGAGGAGGAGGAGGAGGAAGAAGAGGAAAAGAGGAAGAAACGGUCCCCUAAAAAUGGGGUGGAAACGGGCAAAAAGAGGAGUGAGAGCGAGAAGAAACAACCUGUGAAAAAUGGGGCCAAAGGAGUGAAAAUGGACAGCGAGGAAGAGGAUGAAGAAGAUGAAGAGGAGGAGGAGGAAGAAGAAGAGAAGAAGAAACCAACUUCCGAAAAUGAGGAGAAAAAGGGCAAAAAGAGGAGCGAGAAAAAAAUGGGUCUGAAAAACGGGCGGAAAAGAGGGAAAAUAGAGAGCGAGGAAGAGGAGGAGGAAGAGGAGGAGGAGGAAGAAGAGGAAGAAAAGAGGAAGAAGCCGCCCCCCAAAAACGAGGAGAAAAAGGGCAAAAAGAGGAAAGAGACUGAGAAAAAAACGGGUGUGAAAAAUGGGCGGAAAAGGGGGAAAACGGAGAGUGAGGAAGAGGAGGAAGAGGAGGAGGAAGAGCCCCCCCCCAGCGACUCGGACGAGGACCUCCCCCUAAAUGAGGAGAAAAAGGGCAAAAAGAGGAGCGAGAAAAAAAUGGGUCUGAAAAACGGGCGGAAAAGAGGGAAAAUAGAGAGCGAGGAAGAG